rnacentral:misc_RNA from 1 species
AACGGUCUAUACCUGCGGUACCUGCGGAAGGAUCAUUAUAGAGUGGUAAACCUCCCGUAAAAGGGGGGGACCUCCUGUCCUUUGUAGGCUCUUUUUUAAAAGGGCUUUUUUUAAUUUUCUGCUUCGGUGGGGUUAUCCCACCGGAACAACCUCAAAACUCUCAUCACAAAAUCGUUCUGUCUGAGAACCUUUUAUAAUAAAAAAAAACUUUUAGCAAUGGAUCUCUAGAUCGGAAGAGCA